GCCGUAAAGCAUCGCCAAACACUUAACUCACGUAUCGCCAUCGAGACAGCUAGGCACUGGCUCCUAGCGACUGGAUUCGCAGUACCACAAAACUGUAUUAUCACUGCUUAACAACGGCAAUCACACAUCACGCCCCCCUAGUUUCUUUUUUGUUGUUUGUGACUCUUACCCCUCCUUUUGUUUUUUUAAUAGUUCCACGUUUUCACUCUCAAGGUAGAGUAGUAGAAACGGCUGCUACUUCCGGGGACUGCUAAACGAUCAGUUUCACUUCUGUUACUGUCUUCUCUGUUAACUUCGUCGCUGUUUCAACUGUACGGCUACAACUGCCCCAUCAACGAUGACAAACUUCGUCGGUCAACAUCUGUCUUCUUUGGCGACACGCAGAAGACGUCAUCCACAAUGAUUCCCUGUGAGGUGCCAUCUUAAACGGGGCGGAUGCAAGGAGCAUUUCUAUUGGUGGUGGAUUCGCCCAGCAGUAUCUGCAUCAGCAACUUCCAGAGGGAAAGUGUUGGGACGUGGUCAACAGAUCGAAUUCCUCCUCCAACUACUGUGUGGUCGUCACCAGGACAACAACCUCGACAACGACCGGAAAUUACGUCUAGCAGUGAUCGUAAGGGGUGGCAGGCGGUACUCUUCAACAUUUGUUCCCCCUUUUUUGCAUCUUUGCUGUUACAGUGGAGAGCCUCAGAUUAGCUUAAGACGGGACAGUUUUAGUAGACCCAACUGCAAGAGAAAAAAGAAAUACAAUUUUGAAAGAAAAUACUUCUAUCGCCCAUGUGACCUGUAAGGGUCUCUCUUACAUUGUUGCGACAUUAUUUAUUUUAAAUCUUACUACUAAGAUACAAGGCCCUUUCGAGGGUGGCUGUAAGUGUCAGUUGUUUUAACUUACUUCGUCUGAUAUAUUUUUACUAUUUUGGUUACAACGACUAAAACACUAAGUGUUCUACCAGAGUAGUGUUACUUUUGAAGAAGAAAUAUUAAGGAGUGUGAAGGGGGGUCCAGAAGUGCUGUUAUCAAGGGUGAAAACAGGUGUGUGAAUAGGAAUGAAAAGUGGUAAAUAGAGUGAUUUUGUGCGGAGAGUGAAGGGGGUAUUUUAUGCGUUUCAGUGGUUCCACGUUUCCUUAUUUUCGGGGAAGGGGUUGUGUGUGUCUUUGUGUUCGCUUUUCGACACGUCCUCCCUUAAGUUAUAAAGGUGAGGCAAGCAGUGAAUAAAGGUGGCGGUGGGGUGUGGUGGUGGAAGACGUCAUGAGUUCCUACUUUGCUAACUCAUACAUCCCGGACCUGCGUAAUGGUGGCGUGGUUUCUGCGGAGCAUCCCCAUCAGCACCAACAUUAUGGGGCGGCGGUGGUGGCGCAGGGUGGCGGGCCAGGUGGUGCCGUCACCUCAGAUCCCAGUUCCUGUGCGGGUGGUGACCACACUGUUGUCGGUCUCAGACAAGGUAUCCCUCCCCACCAUUAUGGGGGCCCUCCUGCCGCCGGCCAGCCGCCUCAGGGUAUGCCUUACCCCAGAUUCCCACCUUACGAUCGUAUGGAUAUUAGGAACGCGGCAUAUUAUGGGACCCAGCAGCAAGGCAACGGGGGUCUCAUGGCGGAUGGUAACGGUGCCAGCGGUGGGGGCGGCUAUAGGGCAAAUUCACCAAGUAACGGAGGGAUGGGACAUAUGGGAGGAGGUGGGCCCCCAAAUGGACAUCAAACACCAGUGGUCUUUACAAGCUGUAAGCUUCAAGCAGCCACAGUUGGGGGUCCUGGUGCCCUUGGUUCCGGAAGUCCACCUUUAGAAGGCCCACCGCAGGCAACGCUCAACAAUCACAGUCAUCAAAACCAUCACCACUCACAACAGCAACAUGCGAAUCACCAGCAGGGACCUCCACACCAUAUGCAAGCGAAUCACCAACACCAGCAUCCUCACCACAAUCACCAGGCGGCGCAGAAUCACCUCUUGUACAACAACGUGAGUCAGCAGCAAUGCGAGCAGGGUCCGCCCCAUCACCAGCAAGUGGUGGCACCCCACCAGCAGUCGCAACAGCCCCCGCAGCAAACGGGCCCUCAGCAGCCUCCACAGCAACCACCCAGCAACACCGCGUCCACCCUGCCCAGCCCGCUCUAUCCCUGGAUGAGAAGUCAGUUCGAGAGGAAGCGAGGAAGGCAGACAUACACGAGGUACCAGACCCUGGAGCUGGAGAAGGAAUUCCACUUCAACCGCUACCUGACUAGACGACGAAGAAUAGAGAUAGCCCACGCUCUGUGCCUCACGGAGCGGCAGAUCAAGAUCUGGUUCCAGAACAGACGCAUGAAGUGGAAGAAAGAAAAUAAAUCUAAACCAGACGGUGGUCAAAAUGGUGACGGAAAUGCAGGCUCGGACAUAACACCGCAAACCUCACCGCAGUAAAAUAAAAUAAUUGUUUUCCUCACAGACAUUUAUUUCAAGAGAAAAUGCUAACCCUUCAUACAUCUUUGAGACUGGGUUUUAGUUUCUGAAUUUUACCAGAAUAAGUAUAUUCUGAUGGAGCCAACUGAAAUUAUCCCAAGAAGAUCUGAAAACUACAUUAAUAGCAGUACAUGGACGUAACCUCACGAAGAAGGCCAAUCUGUCUGGAACAUAAUUAUUAAAGAAUUGACCAUUAAUUUUUCGUCCUCGUUGUUAAUUGUAUUCCUGUGGUUUCGCUUCCGUAAUCUCUCUUUUUGUGUGUUCAUUGUGCUCUCUUAGUGAUUGAAUAUUUUCACGACAUGGAUAUUCCUGAAUAUUUUCACGACAUGGAUAUUCCUCAAGUUAUUUAUUGCAUACUUAAACCAUUCACAAAGUUUAUGUUCGAAGACAUUUAAGGGAACAGAAGUCUGGCGAAAUAGUCUUACUAAAACCCCUCAUCACCACACAUGGGCUGGCUAUAAGAGUAGAGAGCUAUAAUUACAAAUAACCGACAUAUAUUUCUCGAUAAAAUUUCCCACUUUCUUUUAUUUAAGUAAUUUCAUGGAAAGAUAAUUAAGAAUACAGAUCCCUUUGAAGAACGGAGCCAUCGUCAAUAUGUAUACAAAUGAUGUAUUUCUGGUAAAGUGUGGAUUAAGUAUUCCAACUCUGAGAUUGUGAUCGGAGAGACUAAUUAUAUGACCCUUUCCAGAGAUGGUCAUUAAGCGUGGCCUGAGGAAGAGAAAUAAUAAUUAUCUCAGCAACAUCGAAUAAAAUAAAAAAAACUUAAAUGAAUCAGUAUCCAGUAACAUGUUACAUGUGAAGUCCAAACAUGAAGCUCUGAUGACAGACAUUGGAAAGCUUUAUGCAAAAAAGAAAAAGAGAACGGUAAAGUGAGAGAAACACUGGAAAUGAAUCGACAUACGUAAGGUAUCCCACCAUUUCGGAUGUAUGACAUAUAUAGAAAGAAUAAAAAUCCGCAGAAAAGUAGAUUUCACAGUGGAGUCCAGUCAUCAGUGACAAGAGAAGGGGAAGAUAGAAGAAUGUUGCACCCAUUGAGCACCUGCAGUUCAAUAAGGUUAUUAAUUAAAACUUCAAAUAACACAAGAAGUUCUGUAAUUUACAUGCGCGAUCUAACCGAAAUUGCUUACUUGAAUGUGCAGAAUGUUUCAAAUCUCCCUUCUUUCAACAUUUAGUGCAAUCAAGAAGUUAUGAUAAAUAGUAUAAUCGAAGAUUUUAGUGCCAACAGCAGUGAAUAAUUUUCAGUAUCACACUACCAGUGGAAGUGCUCCUGUUCAAGUGUAAUACAUCCCACUUCACAGCUUAGUAAAUAUAGCAUCGAUACAGAAGUUUCCAUCAGCUGAACAUCGCACAGCAGCAGUCCGACUUCUUCACAAAGUGAUUAUAUGAAUUAUACCAAAUCAUCAAUAACGCCUGUAGAUCCUGGACUUCGUAUCACCUAGCAAGCUCAAACUUCUGGAAAUGACUCCAGCGUCCACAACAAAAGCAGGUAGAGUGUUCCAAUGGAGUCAACUGUAAUCCACAUGCCAAUAGUAUGGACAUACCCAUCUCACCGCCAGUUUAUGGAGUUCUAAGCAAACAGCAGUCUAUUGGAUACACGUGGCAACACUGUGGGAUAGCCCCUGGGUUGGACAACUGCAACAGACCAUCUCUCUCCAUACAUAAGUAUAAGGAGAGAGAAGGUCCAUUACAUGAGCAAGAAGGAGGAGGCCUUUAAGAAAACGAUGACUUCCUGCCUGACAGAAUACAUAAUAAAAAGUCUACAUUACAUCGGUAGAGACAGCAGCUGAAAUAUCACGUGAUAAUAUCUGUUUUAUACCCAACAUAAAAUGUUAUUUUGAUGUUGUUAGUUGGCCAGCAAAGGAAGAUCGCAUCAUGUCGCCCUCCGGCAUUAACAAUUUCCAUACUCUCUGCUAUAUCAUUAUUCUAAUAGGCUUCAAUAUCAGCUCCUCGUAAACUGAAAGACAGUUGUAUCUAGCCUAUAAUUUGGUCCUUGGUAGUUUCGCAAUCCCACAUUUUGUAUCUCUGAGAAGUACAGUUCACCGAAUAAAUAACGGAAACACUUUUCGUAAUUCUGUUCUCACAUUAAAUAUAAUUAAGCUGACAAAGUAAAGUAUGGUGAGAUGGACAGGGCAUGUAGCACGGACGUGGGCGAAGAGGAAUGCAUAUAGAAUUUUAAUGGAAAAACCAAAUGGGAAAAGACCACUGCGAAGACUUAACCGUAGGUGGGAGGAUAAUAUUAAAACGGAUCUUAGCAAGAUAACAUAGGAUGAUAUGGACUGGAUUCAUCUGGCUGAGGAUGGGGACCAGUGGAAGGCUCUUACGAACAUGUUACUGAACCUUUGGCUUCCAUAAAAUGUUGGGAAGUUCUUGAGUAGCUGAGAACCUAGUGGCUUCCCAAGAAGGACCCAACUCAAUGAAAGUUGUACUUACUUGGAGAAGUAUAGAUUAUCCGAUAAAUAAAGGAUAUACUUCCCUCGUAGUUCUAUCUUGACAUUUUGUAUUAGGUUUUGUAGUAGUUGUUAGUUAGUAGUUCCUAGCAGGGUUUCCCUUAACCCUUUAAAGUACAGUGGUUGCUAUACAUACCACAUAUUUCUUAACAUUAAAUAACUCUGCGUUCUACUCCUAGAAUAUAAUUUGCCUCUUCUAUGAUUUGCAGAAUAAGUAGCCAUUGUUUAUCUGAACUGCAUGAAUCAUGUGCAUAUGCGUCCACCUGAAUUAGGAGAAUGCAGCCAUUCAGUUCGUUGGUCAAGGAAAGUGAAGUAUAUUAGAAUUACUUUUGAUGGAAACUCGUCUGAAAUAAACAUAUGGAGAGCGUAGCAAAGAACACGUUAGCAAGAAUUUCAGAGGAUUAGCAGAAUCGAAAUCAGGAACAUGAACCUGGACCCUUGCACUCUUUGCAGAUACUGCGUUGACUCAUCCAUCCAGUGGUUAUAUGGCCCUCAUCCCUCAGCUGCUGUUCGCCUUCAGUUCCCUCAGUUCAUAGGUGAUGACUUCCAGUACUGCCGAGUUACUUGAAGCCCAGUCUAUCGCACCGUACACAGUUUUCCCGUUAGUCCUCCUUACUUCAAAUUACACUUUGAACAGAGGCAUACCGCGGAGAUAUUACAGGUUCGGUUCCAGAUCACGACAAUAAAGCGAGUCAUACACAUUUUUUGGUUUCCCAGUGCAUAUAAAAGUUAUGCUUACACUAUACUUUAGUUUAUUAAUUGUGCAAUAGCAUUAUG